UACUUGGAGGCCAUUGUCCAGAACCAUAAAGAAGUUAUGACCUUUGAAGACUUUGCAUCGCAGGUCUUCUCCCCCUCCCCUGCCUAUCCAGCAAGUGGGACAGAUUAAAAAAAAUAACUUAAAGGUCCAAAUGCUAUAUGUUGUGAAGGAUCUCUCACUGGCAGCGUGAGCACAGACGGUGGAAAUACCACGACGACAGACUCCGUCGACCAGGUGUCUCCCACCAUGCCCCGCUCGACCAAACAGAGAGUUUCAGGAAAACUCCGCAGAUCUGCAAGCGCUAUAAGCAAAUCUUCUAACUGAGCGCUACACCCCUCCUCCUUUCUUUUCUCUCUUCUGAGUGAAACCUUUAAUCUGCUCUCAAAGAACCUCCACGCAUCCUGCUGUGACUGCAAACAUUGUUCUUGUUUUUAUCCGUUUUAUGUUGUUUCUUGUGAAACUUAACUGGAGCAUGUUGCCAUUUUUAAUUCAGUUUGCUGUCCAUGAUUCC